rnacentral:rRNA from 1 species
CGUGCGACUGCGGAGAUCAUUACCGAGUGCGGGCCCCUCGGGGCCCAACCUCCCACCCGUGUUGCCCGAACCUAUGUUGCCUCGGCGGGCCCCGCGCCCGCCGACGGCCCCCCUGAACGCUGUCUGAAGUUGCAGUCUGAGACCUAUAACGAAAUUAGUUAAAACUUUCAACAACGGAUCUCUUGGUUCCGGCAUCGAUGAAGAACGCAGCGAAAUGCGAUAAUAAUGUGAAUUGCAGAAUUCAGUGAAUCAGAGUCUUUGAACGCACAUUGCGCCCUCUGGUAUUCCGGAGGGCAUGCCUGUCCGAGCGUCAUUGCUGCCCUCAAGCCCGGCUUGUGUGUUGGGCCCCGUCCCCCCCGCCGGGGGGACGGGCCCGAAAGGCAGCGGCGGCACCGCGUCCGGUCCUCGAGCGUAUGGGGCUUCGUCACCCGCUCUAGUAGGCCCGGCCGGCGCCAGCCGACCCCCAACCUUUAAUUAUCUCAGGUUGACCUCGGAUCAGGUAGGGAUACCCGCUGAACUUAAGCAUAUCAAU